CGGAAUCGCUCCUGCUAGCCCCUCUGACUGACUCCUCCGGCUCACCGUCUUCCCUCUGGGAGGAAGGGGAGGGACUUCCUGCCUCUUUUGAGCGACUUCCGGCGGCUCCCCGGACGACUCUGUCGUGGUCCGAGCACUGGACACCACGACCGAAAAACAGGAUCUCGGAACUGGCCUAGUAAAACCCACAUCGAAUUCCCUUUUCCUGCCCCGAGUGGCCAGCGGACCGUAUGCCGUCUUGUUUUUGUCCAUCAGCUCUUGGCAGAAGUCCCUCGGAGAUGAAACCGGAAGUCCCACCCCUCCCCAAGUGGAAAACGGAAAGCCGAAGGAGUCAACCGAAGGAAGGGGAGACGCGCGUCAGGCUGAGAGCCUGGCGGCGUGUGACCGGGAAGGCCACCUGGGACUUCCAGCGGCUCCCCGAGCGGGCGCGUGCGCACCUCCGGGUUAGGAGAACAGCCUCUGGGUGCUCCUAGCAGGGGUCCUCGGAGUCGCAGACCCUAGGAAGUCGCCAGCCGAAUUCUGAUCCUAACGGGGAGGCGAAAAGCUGAAUGGGGUUGUUCGCCAGUUGGCCACAAAGGCUGGAAACGCUUUGGGUGUUUACAACGUUCCUGCACGGACUGUUUUCAUAAACGUUAACGGCACAGCAUGAGAAAAAUGAAGCUCAAAGAAGUGACGUAUUAUUCCCUAGUUCUGCCUGUACUGGCUAACUUUGGUGACUGUUUGCCUCUCUGAUGUCCCACGCUUACUCUCCCACACACACUGCUCCUGCUAAUCUGGCCCUGUGGCCAGGAUGUAGUCCCAGUAAAGAGACUCCCUGGCAAGAGGGAGAUGCUGCACAGACAAGGCGCCAGAACUUCACUCCCACAUCGUCUCCAUAUCAAAGCAGCAUUUUCAAACACACAGAGAAUGUUGAGAAACAUUGAAUAUGUCUGUUUGUCUCAUAUCAAAGAGGCCUAUCAGGAGUUACAGUUUAGUUAGCCUAAAUAUAAAACCUGUUUUAAUGAGAACUAUAUACAUUUUAUGUCUAAUUAGCCAAUUAAUUUGCUAUUCCUGCAUGAAAUUUACAAAACUUGCUAAGAGAAAAAUUUAGAAUGGAGAUGCCUAAUAGGAACUGAAUUAAACUAUCGUGGUUUAAACACAAAGUGGUCUGGGGUGGUGAACAUGAAGUAAUCUACACAGAAUUUGAAGUAUAUUACGAUGUACACCUGAAAUUUAUACAAUGUUAUAAACCAAUGCUACUGCAAUUAAAAAAAAUUUUUUUUUAAACAAA
rnacentral:lncRNA from 1 species